rnacentral:rRNA from 1 species
GAUGAACGCUGGCGGCGUGCCUAAUACAUGCAAGUCGAGCGAACGGACGAGAAGCUUGCUUCUCUGAUGUUAGCGGCGGACGGGUGAGUAACACGUGGAUAACCUACCUAUAAGACUGGGAUAACUUCGGGAAACCGUAGCUAAUACCGGAUAAUAUUUUGAACCGCAUGGUUCAAAGGUGAAAGACGGUCUUGCUGUCACUUAUAGAUGGAUCCGCGCUGCAUUAGCUAGUUGGUAAGGUAACGGCUUACCAAGGCAACGAUGCAUAGCCGACCUGAGAGGGUGAUCGGCCACACUGGAACUGAGACACGGUCCAGACUCCUACGGGAGGCAGCAGUAGGGAAUCUUCCGCAAUGGGCAAAAGCCUGACGGAGCAACGCCGCGUGAGUGAUGAAGGUCUUCGGAUCGUAAAACUCUGUUAUUAGGGAAGAACAUAUGUGUAAGUAACUGUGCACAUCUUGACGGUACCUAAUCAGAAAGCCACGGCUAACUACGUG